rnacentral:SRP_RNA from 1 species
UGCCAAGCGCUAAUUAACAGGUUUAUGCCCAACCCCGCCAGAUCCGGAAGGAAGCAACGGUCAGCAUUUAAUUUGUGUAGUUAGUUAGCUUGGCAUUU